rnacentral:tRNA from 1 species
GGCAUCAUGGUGGGCGGCGCCUGCCACACGCUAUUCGGCAUGGCGGCAGUGGUGGCGCUCAGUCGCCUUGUGCCC